AUGGGCGGCGCGAUCUCCGGCGGCGCAGCGGCGACGGGGGAGUACCCGGUGGUUCUCAACGUGUACGACCUCACGCCGCUAAACAACUACGUCCACUGGUGCGGGCUCGGCAUCUUCCACUCCGCCGUCGAAGUCCAUGGAUCGGAGUACAGUUUUGGAGCUCAUGACCUUCCAACAAGUGGUGUUUUUGAGGUUGAACCAAAGAGCUGCCCAGGAUUCUUGUACAGAUCUUCAAUUUUCAUAGGCCGUACAAGUCUACAUCCCUUGGAAUUUCGAGAUUUCAUUCAGAGAAUGGCCUCGGAGUAUCAUGGGGAUACAUACCACCUCAUUUCUAAGAAUUGUAACCACUUCACAGAUGAUCUCAGCACCAGAUUGACAGGAAAGCCAAUUCCUGGUUGGGUUAACCGACUUGCUAAGCUAGGUGCAUUUUGCAACUGCCUUCUACCAGAAAGUAUGCGGUUGGACUCAACUGAGACAAAGAACCUCACGGACUACCAUUUCUCUGAUGAUUCCAACUUAACCAUCAAUGACAACUUUGACGAUGAUGACAUUGAAGACAAACACUUGCUUUCCGAAUCUUCUGUCAGUGAAAAUGCAAUUGUAAAGGAAGUCCACAGGUGA
rnacentral:rRNA from 1 species